CGCUGGCGGCGUGCUUCAUACAUGCAAGUCGAACGAGAAGCUCACUUCGGUGAGUGGAAAGUGGCGGACGGGUGAGUAAUGUGUAGAGAAUCUGCCCUAGAGUGGGGGAUAGCAGUUGGAAACGACUAUUAAUACCCCAUAUGCGCGUAGCUGAGAUGCUAUUCGUGAAAACUCCGGUGCUCUGGGAUGAGUCUGCAUCUGAUUAGCUAGUAGGCGGUGUAAUGGACCACCUAGGCUACGAUCAGUAGCUGGUUUGAGAGGAUGAUCAGCCACAAUGGGACUGAGACACGGCCCAUACUCCUACGGGAGGCAGCAGUAGGGAAUUUUGCGCAAUGGGGGAAACCCUGAACCGCAGCAACGCCGCGUGAAUGAAGAAGCCCUUCGGGGUGUAAAGUUCUGUCAGUGGGGACGAAACUUGACGGUACCCACAGAGGAAGCAUCGGCUAACUCCGUGCCAGCCGCCGC
rnacentral:rRNA from 1 species